rnacentral:lncRNA from 1 species
GGUCUGGCUAUGCUGUCCCCUGCUGAACCUCUUCCCGGGAGGGGCCUCAGGGGUUCUUGCUCACUCCCAGGGCCUGUUCACGCGUGUCCACAAUUUGGUCCCCCUCAUGCCUGAAAACCUUCCAGGAGGACACUCGCCCUCCACUGUCCACAGCCCCCACAGAUGUAGAAACUAAACCCAGCUUGGGGACCGCCUUCCUGAGGACACAACCCUGGGUAAGUCUGGGCUGGGCCCUGCUGGGGAAAAGAGGGUCAGGGUGUGAUCUGGGGGGCAGGAAACUGUCCACUGUCGGAAGAGGGGAGGGGAAGACCCAGAGA